UUGAUCCCGUCGGACCUUACUGCUAUCGAGAUGGGACUAACCCAGGCCAGUCGAACGACCCGGACUAUGGCGGGGAGUGGCGCACUGCUCAGUAACACGUAGCUAACCUAACCUCAAGACGGAAAUAACCCCGGGAAACUGGGGUCAAUGUCCGAUAGAUGUGAAUUCCUGGAAUGGUGUCACAUCCAAACGUCAACACACCAUGUUGUGCGAACGCUUGAGGAUGGGGCUGCGGCCGAUCAGGCUGUUGGUGGGGUAAUGGCCCACCAAACCUUUGACCGGUAUGGGCCAUGAGAGUGGUAGCCCAGAGAUGGACACUGAGACAAGGGUCCAGGCCCUACGGGGCGCAGCCGGUACGAAACCUCCACAAUGCACGCAAGUGCGAUGGGGUUAUCUCGAGUGCUAUCUGAAAAAGGUAGCUUUUCCAUGGUCUAAAUAGCCGUGGGAAUAAGGGGGGGGCAAGACUGGUGUCAGCCGCCGCGGUAACACCAGCCCCCCGAGUGGUAGGGAUGUUUAUUUGGCCUAAAGCGUCCGUAGCCGGCUAAGUAAAUUUCUCGUUAAAUCCAACGUCCUAAGCGUUGGGCUGCGAGAAAGACUGCUUAGCUAGAGGGUGGGAGAGGUCAGCGGUAUUCCUGGGGUAGGGGCGAAAUCCAUUGAACCCAGGAGGACCACCAGUGGCGAAGGCUGCUGACUAGAACACGCCUGACGGUGAGGGACGAAAGCUGGGGUAGCGAAUCGGAUUAGAUACCCGAGUAGUCCCAGCCGUAAACGAUGCAGACUAGGUGUUGGGUUGGCCACGCGCCGACUCAGUGCCACAGGGAAGCCAUUAAGUCUGCCGCCUGGGAAGUACGGCCGCAAGGCUGAAACUUAAAGGAAUUGGCGGGGGAGCACCACCAGGCGUGAAGCCUGCGGUUUAAUUGGAGUCAACGCCGGGAACCUUACCGGGAGCGACAGCAGAGUGAAGGCCAGGCUAAAGGUCUUGCCAGACGAGCUGAGAGGAGGUGCAUGGCCGUCGCCAGUUCGUGCCGUGAGGUGUCCUCUUAAGUGAGGUAACGAACGAGACCCGCGCCGCAUGUUGCUAACAAGUCCUAAAGGGAUGUUGAGCACUCUUGCGGGACCGCAGCCGACAAGGCUGAGGAAGGUGCGGGCAACGGCAGGUCAGUAUGCCCCGAAUCUCCCGGGCCACACGCGGGCUGCAAUGGU
rnacentral:rRNA from 1 species